CUCCCCCUCUCUAAAAACAAAGAGAAAUGGUGCAACACCCAGGGCACCCUUCCCUUCUUCUUUUCUUCUUCUUCAUUCCUCCACACACACAGAAAACUACGCACAAGAGCUCCUUCUUCUUCUUCUUCUUUCAUUUCUGAAAAUCCCACGCAUAAGAAUCAAAAAAUCAAAAUCAGACCUAGAAGAAACCCAAAAAAGCGGCGGAUCUCAAGGAGCUAAAAAGAGCAUCAGCUAAAGAGAAUAAAGAUUUUCGCCGAUAACUAUGGAAAAGCAUCAGCUACUGACUCCCCUAAUCCCUCUCAAUAGACGGAUGCUAAGUUGGAAAGAAAGAGUUCAAAAGUUGAUUUUUAAUUUCUUUCAAUUGGUACAUGUUCUCUGAGACUGCGAAAGCUGGUCCGAGUUGAAGAGUUGCUGAUUUCGGCUAUUUUCAUGACGCUGUAGCUGUGCUUAUGAGCGUUAACCUUUGUUGGUCUUAUUCUGCUGCCUUUUGUUCCUGCUGUUAGGAGUGAUUCUGAGUUAUGUAGAUGUUGUGGAGAUAAUUCGAGCUAUUUAGAGCUUUGAAGUCAGAGUAAAAGCUCAAGGGAUUAAGCCGGGAUCGUGUUCGAGGGUCGAGGACCAAGUCUGGACAUCAAAAAUCAAAGUUUGAUCCGUACUCUAAGAAAAUGCCACUUCCGCGGAGCGUGGGGCGCCAUGGCUGCCCAAUUUUCGCUGCCUGUCAAUUGUUGAGCUCCUUGAAGAUGUCCACUAAUGCCCCGCAUGGUGCGUCACCCCAUGCGGUGCGGCUAUGCAAUUUUUACAAAGUAAAUGUCUUAUUUCUGUUAGGAAAAGAUGAUUUCGUUUGGGCCCGACCAAACUUGGUAUAAAUACAUGGAAAAAUGUAGUUUAUGGA